rnacentral:rRNA from 1 species
GAUGAACGCUGGCGGCGUGCCUAAUACAUGCAAGUCGAGCGAAGCGGGGACGGGUGAGUAACACGUGGAUAACCUCCUAUAAGACUGGAUAAACUUGGGGAACCCGAGCUAAACCCGGUAAUUAUAGAUUGGUUUUGGGUGCAUUUGCUUGUUGGUAAGGUAACGGCUUACCAAGGCAACGAUGCAUAGCCGACCUGAGAGGGUGAUCGGCCACACUGGAACUGAGACACGGUCCAGACUCCUACGGGAGGCAGCAGUAGGGAAUCUGCCGCAAUGGGCGAAAGCCUGACGGAGCAACGCCGCGUGAGUGAUGAAGGUCUUCGGAUCGUAAAACUCUGUUAUUAGGGAAGCGGUACCUAAUCAGAAAGCCACGGCUAACUACGUGCCAGCAGCCGCGGUAAUAC